UAGGGAAUAUUGCACAAUGGACGAAAGUCUGAUGCAGCAACGCCGCGUGUGCGAUGAAGGCCUUCGGGUUGUAAAGCACUUUUAUGAGGGAAGAGCAAGGACUGUACCUCAUGAAUAAGGAUCGGCUAACUACGUGCCAGCAGCCGCGGUAACACGUAGGAUCCAAGCGUUAUCCGGAUUUACUGGGCGUAAAGCGUGUGUAGGUGGUUUGCUAAGUUGGGUGUUAAAUCUCUCGGCUCAACUGAGAGGUGUCGCUCAAAACUAGUAGACUGGAGGACGGUAGAGGAAGGUAGAAUUCCGGGUGUAGUGGUGAAAUGCGUAGAUAUCCGGAGGAAUACCAGUGGCGAAGGCGGCCUUCUGGACCGUUCCUGACACUCAGACACGAAAGCUAGGGGAGCAAACGGG
rnacentral:rRNA from 1 species